AAAAUCUUAUUUUCAGCAUUCUUGAAAAACCAUUCGAGCAGUCAAUAGAUUCUCCAUCAAGCCUCAUCCACUCCCCUGGUUGUUCAGUCCCCAAUUGUGAUCCUUGGUAAACUCUUCACCUCCUUAAUCGUUCCUUCUUCAAUUAGAAAAACUAGGGUUCAUGCGUGUUUGUACAAUGACAGCGGAAAACUCAACCGCUGCCAGAACCAAUCCGCUCCACGUUCUGCUUCUACACUCCCUUAUAUUCCACUCUGCAAUCCCCAUCUCCUCUUUAACUCUUAUCGCCUUGACUUAGAUAACCUUAACCAUCACCACCUAUGAUUGUACGGCAAUCAUCGCACAACCACCAGCACAACGACAAGAAUGGAUCGACAACCGUCACACCACCACUCCCUCAACAGCCGCAUCAGCGUCGAACUUUCGGCAAUCUAUUGUAAUCUCAUGUCUCUCUGAGAUCAUAUUCAAUCGGAAGGUUCUAAUCAGGGAUCGUUCUCGGAUGUAAUCGUGAAGGUUGUAGGCGAUACGUAUCAUCUUCACCGUUUAAUUCUCUCUCAUAACUCAUAUUUUAGGUUUUCGAUUUUGAUAUUUUGAAUUCUGUUUUUGUCUACGGAUGCAUUAGGUUGUUGAUUGUUGUUUUCAUGCUUUUGUUUACUGUGUUUCGUUGGUGAGUGUGUUUGUGCAGAGUUAUUUUCCGUCAAUGACGAAGAUCAUUGGUAUUAUCGUACUAAAAUUGAGAUUUGUGGAAGUUAUUUUGUGGUUUCUCAUGGCUGGAAUGUCUGAAAGGAAAUUGUUGAUGGCAAUGGGAAGGCUGCAAAAGGUGGAAGAGGAGGACAAAAUAGUUCUGCCUUGCUGCUGUUGUGCAAGUAGCAACUGCAAACCCACGACCUACCUGUUGAUCAUAAUGAACCAACAUAUUGUUUCUGCAACCAAGUUAGCUAUGGGGAGAUGGUUGCGUGCGACAAUCCUGAUGCAAAUUGAUUUCAAUUUUACAUCAUACAUUCAAUUUUACAAACCCUAAAUCUCAUCUACGGCUUCAUCUCUAACGAUUGUACCUGGCCAUACCCACUCCAGAAAUCCCUAAAUCUCAAGCAUUCAAACUCUCAUCUAGAUAUAGAAUUGUCGAAUGGGUUUUGAUUUUGUCGCUCAAUCCAACCAGAUAACUUCAAACAGAGCUCGCCAGAGAGUUCAGAGACCGGACGGUGGUGCUCGGAGUAAAGCUAGAUGAGCAGAGCAGAGUGAAGAACUUGACGGACGGGGCUGCCGUUGUUUGAAGAUUUAAUUAGAACAAUUGAGCAAGAAGGUAUCUUUUAUGUUGCAGGAUAUGCAUACACACCAAAGGAAGGUUCAAUUGUGCCGGCGAACUGAUUGAAAAGAGGCAAACUGAUUGAAAAGGUUUUCCGGCGAAGCAACUGACGCCCUCAGCAGGAAAUAGCAGACACGCCAUGUUUUGUUUUCCUCUGGGUUGGUGAUCCUUGAACAAGGUCGAUAAUGUCUAAAGAAGUGGGGGAUCCGUAGGUGUGAGGAUAUAUAUCUUUGGUGAAGACCAAUAAAACCACUACAACACCUUGAUUGCGCAAUGUUUCACAUACUUAUUUCAGCGCUCAAAGGAGCACAGUUUGAUGGGCAUAAUAGGAACUGUUAGGCGAACUGAUGGUCACAUAAUGCAUGCCAACGUUGAUUCAGUACUUGAAUCUGAAACAUUUACCAUGGAGGAAGAUCUGGUAAUAAAGUUAAACUGAUGUUCCUUCUUACUUGGAUUUGUUUUCAUCCGGGCUACGUAAAUGCUCCGGUGUUCUUCUUUAUGGUCCUCCUGGUACCGGGAAGGUAUUACAUAUCGUUUAAAUCAUUUAAUAUUUCUUAGCAUAUUGUCAUUAUUGUUAUAUUUUCUGCUAUAACCAUCUAAAACAUAUGUUGCUUUCAUAUACUUUGUUGGCAAACGUUGUUGCAACCGAAUGUUCUCUUAAUUUUCUAAGUGUUAAAGGGCCUGAAUUGAUCAACAUGUACAUAGGAGAAUCAGAGAAAAAUGUAAGAGACAUAUUUCAGAAGGCACGCGCAGCCUGCCCGUGUGUCAUCUUCUUUGAUGAGUUGGAUUCUCUAGCUCCAGCCCGAGGUGCUUCUGGUGAUUUUGGGGGAGUUAUGGACCGUGUCGUUUCUCAGGUUGGAAGAAUGACUCUUAGUGGUUUGUUGGCUUUGGGAUACAACAUUGUUCUUUAUUAUAAACGGGAAUCUAAGCCAAUCAUUUAUGGAGAUCUUUCAAUGUCUCAAGAGACCAUAGACACUCUUUAUGAAAAUAAAUAAUUCUCAGGGGUAGAAAUAGAAAAAUGGUUGAAUCAGAUGCAUCAAGACUGGGAAUCACAGGCCCUUGGAUCAUUAAAUCAUAUCUUGAAAUGAUUCUGAUUUUAUCUCACUUCAUAUGUCACUUACCCCUGCUACUUUAAAGGUGUUUAAUGAUGCAACCUUUGCAAAGAUGAAGAAAGGAGUUCGAAUCAUCAACGUGGCACCGGGUGGAGUGAUCGAUGAAGUUGCCUUAUUGAGGGACCAUGAUUCUGGUAUUAUUGCACAAGGAACAUUAGAUGUGUGCAUGAACUUUACAAGGUGAACUUUCUGCAACUUAUGUUAACGCGCUAAUGGUGUAGUAAAAGACUAUACUAAGACAUUUUAAGAAAUCGUAAGCAUCACUAGAGACGAUUGAGUAUAGGUAAUUUUAAGAAAUCAUAAAGUCUAACUUAUGAGGAAAGAACCUGAUGAGGUAAUAAACUUAAAUAGUUUGUUGAUUUGUUUUCCAUCUUUGUUAUAUUGAUUUCUGGUAGGGACUUUGUGUUUGCUUCUUUAGGUUGUAAUAUUUCAAGAUGGGACGUAUCUGACUUUACGAGAAGUUUUUGAGAACUUGGAUUUAACUGGGUAAAACUAAUCAUCCGAACUUAAUGGUUUGUGAAUGAUAAAAUAAGAAGACGACAAUAUACAUUCUUGAUAGAUGCGUUCCAGUGGAGGAAGUAACUUUAUAAAAUUUUAACUGGUUCAGAUUAUUUUAGUUCAGUUUGUGCCAAUUUAGAAGUGUUCCAAGUUAGGCCAGCACCACCCUUACAUGUCUCCCCCAACAUGACCAUUGUCACCACCACCGUGGCUGUCAUAAAGCACCAUCGUUAGCCGAGGAUCAAGAUCCAAGCCCUGAAACGGUCAAUUGUGAUGGAAUUUGGUCAUCAAGUUAGGUUAGCAACAUAUGCAAAUUUUCGCUCUUUUGUAGAAUUGGCUUGUGUAGAUUUCUACCGUUUGGGCGGUGAUCCGUGUAUCUUGGCUGGAUGUAUUGGUUUAAUGCCACCACACUCUUGGGUCAUGCUAUACCUCAUAGUAUGAGCAGCAUUUACAGCAUUUACUGGUCAGAGUUAGGCUUCCUCUUGGUGAUCCAUCAAUGAAGGUUCGAGCUGCUUAUGAUGUACACCAUUCUUGGUGAAGAUGAGGGAGAAGCGGGUUUUAUUCUAGCAAAUCAGAUUAUUAAAAGAGCAUUGUGUACUCCAGGGGCCACCAUUGACAAGCCAGAUAUGCGAAAGCAACGGAAGACGGGCCACAUCAUCGUUGUUGGGUCUUCAAUGGGAAUUGUGGAAGCACAGGUUAAAUCAUUUCUCAAAGAAUAAAGUUCAAAAGAGACUCAAGGUUUGUUUUCUAAAAACAUGUGAUAGAACUGAUUACCUAAAUGUACAUGUGACCCUUUAAGUUUAUGGGUAUAGGAAUUUGCAUCUAAGUUUUACUGGCAUGUAUAAUGUUUUAACUAUUAAACAUGUUGUAAUUUAUUAUC